rnacentral:lncRNA from 1 species
UUUCUUCUCUUCAUCUCCUUUUUCUGUCCCUUCGGAUUUAAGAGUGUUCUUAAGACCAUAGUCGCUUUUCGGUUUAAUGUCCCUUCGGAAUUAAGAAUGGUCUUAAAAACAUAGUCCCUUCGAUAAAUGUCCCUUCAGAAUAAAGAAUACUUUUAAGAUCAUAGUCCCUAUUUGGAAGAACAAUGUCCCGUCGGAAUUAAGAAUGAUC